rfam:Ciona intestinalis ciona0120, whole genome shotgun sequence.
GCCUCUAUAGCUCAGUGGUAGAGCACUGGUCUCGUAAACCAGGGGUCGUGAGUUCAAUUCUCACUGGAGGCA